rnacentral:rRNA from 1 species
UGGACAAGGACUGACGCUGAGGUGCGAAAGCGUGGGUAGCAAACAGGAUUAGAUACCCUGGUAGUCCACGCUGUAAACGAUGUCGAUUUGGAGGUUGUGACCUAGUGUUAUGGCGUCCGAAGCUAACGCGAUAAAUCGACCGCCUGGGGAGUACGGCCGCAAGGUUAAAACUCAAAUGAAUUGACGGGGGCUCGCACAAGCGGUGGAGCAUGUGGUUUAAUUCGAUGCAACGCGAAGAACCUUACCUACUCUUGACAUCCACGGAAUUUAGCAGAGAUGCUUAAGUGCCUUCGGGAGCCGUGAGACAGGUGCUGCAUGGCUGUCGUCAGCUCGUGUUGUGAAAUGUUGGGUUAAGUCCCGCAACGAGCGCAACCCUUGUCCUUUGUUGCCAGCACGUGAUGGUGGGAACUCAAAGGAGACUGCCGGUGAUAAACCGGAGGAAGGUGGGGAUGACGUCAAGUCAUCAUGGCCCUUACGAGUAGGGCUACACACGUGCUACAAUGGCGCAUACAAAGAGCGGCGAGCGUGCGAACGUAAGCGAACCUCAUAAAGUGCGUCGUAGUCCGGAUUGGAGUCUGCAACUCGACUCCAUGAAGUCGGAAUCGCUAGUAAUCGUGGAUCAGAAUGCUACGGUGAAUACGUUCCCG